GGACAACCCCUCUUGGAUCACGGACUGGACUUUCUCGCCAGAGUGCUCCUAUCACAGUGCGCUGGAGGUUUUCCCUAUCAGGAGUUUGAGCACUACCAGAGUGAGAAAGGGCAAAGCAGAGAUUUUUGUGGACUGGCAGCCCUGCCCAGUAUUGUAUGUACC